rnacentral:rRNA from 1 species
CACGUAGGGGGCAAGCGUUGUCCGGAUUUAUUGGGCGUAAAGAGCUCGUAGGCGGCUCAGUAAGUCGGGUGUGAAACCUCCAGGCUCAACCUGGAGACGCCACCCGAUACUGCUGUGGCUUGAGUCCGGUAGGGGAGCGUGGAAUUCCUGGUGUAGCGGUGAAAUGCGCAGAUAUCAGGAAGAACACCAAUGGCGAAGGCAGCUCUCUGGGACGGUACUGACGCUGAGACGCGAAAGCGUGGGGAGCGAACAGG